rnacentral:rRNA from 1 species
GACGAACGCUGGCGGCGUGCUUAACACAUGCAAGUCGAACGGAAAGGCCUCUUUCGGGGGGUACUCGAGUGGCGAACGGGUGAGUAACACGUGAGUAACCUGCCCUUGACUUUGGGAUAACUUCAGGAAACUGGGGCUAAUACCGGAUAGGAGCUCCUGCUGCAUGGUGGGGGUUGGAAAGUUUCGGCGGUUGGGGAUGGACUCGCGGCUUAUCAGCUUGUUGGUGGGGUAGUGGCUUACCAAGGCUUUGACGGGUAGCCGGCCUGAGAGGGUGACCGGCCACAUUGGGACUGAGAUACGGCCCAGACUCCUACGGGAGGCAGCAGUGGGGAAUAUUGCACAAUGGGUGGAAGCCUGAUGCAGCAACGCCGUGUGCGGGAUGACGGCCUUCGGGUUGUAAACCGCUUUCGCUCAUGACGAAGCUUUGUGUGACGGUAGUGGAUAAAGAAGCACCGGCUAACUACGUG